CUCCAUGUGAUCAGGAGAUCACGAAUUCAAACCGUAAAAACGUCCUUCAUAGCAGAAAUACAAUAUAAUAGACCCUCGUGAUCUGACUUUUUCUCCUAACACAUAAUGAAAGUUUUAGUACAUCAGAUUGACUUUUUUAGAGUUCUCCAAAAUUGCAAGUUCUUUUAACAUACUUAUUGUUCCCCACAUUGACGUAUAAAUAUUUAGCCAAACUAAAAUAUUCCUCAUGAACAACACACCUAAGGUAAGUGCACCAACUCACAACAACGAAGUUGGAGUCAAAAGGGUACUAUUUUUAAUCAAAAUUAUUAAAGGUUACAAACCACGACCUUAUAUUUCCUUUCCAUUCGAGAAGCUUCCUCUUAAAAUCAAGGUCUCAAAACGCUAACUCCGAUCAAUGAUCCAAGCAGCAACAAGAAUACUAACUUCUAACUCCAAUCAAUGAUCCAAGCAGCAACAAGAAUACUAACUUCUCAGGUAAGAUUAUUGUUUCCUUCUCCUCUAAUUUAGUAUUGAUUUUUUUUUUCUCUGUUUUUGUUUGUUUUUCCAGCAAGAAUAAAUAACUUCAAUAGCAGUGAUGGAGUCUCACUACACAAACAAGGAAAAUCAGCGGAAGACAUCAGUUUGGCUCCAACCACGAGAAAAUGCUUUAGAUGAGAACUCUUUUGCGUGGUAAUGAGCUUCAGGUUCCAGAUUGUGCCCAUUAAUACAUGAAAAAUCUGUUGAGAUUUUCUUAUUUACAUUAUCUUCCAUCAAAGAUGAGUAAAAAGAAGAGAGACACUGGAAAGGAAGCAAGAUAAAAUGGAGAAAGAAGAGACAAAUAAGAAGGAUGGGGCUAGGAAGAGAGAAUCAACAUAAGUAUCAAAAGAAGUUUGUCAAGAUCUUAUCAAAGCAUUUGGUCCCAUUGGCAAGAGUGAUGAUCAAGGAAAUAUAACAAGUUGCUGCAAAUCUCCAAGAAGCUUUCAGCAGAGAGGUCCAUACUUUAGAGCAGCUGCCUGUUCUACAAGUAGACCACUCACAUGAUCCUAAAAUAGCAACUUUACUAUUCGCUCCAACAGCCCAAGAUUUGAACUUUUCCGAUAAAGUUCAAAUUUUGCUCCUCAUUCCAACAUAAACCAAAUUCUACAUUAUACCCAAACAAUAAGUACUCCUUAUUCCUAAAUAAGUAGGGCUCGGGUAUAUGAAUCCCCAGGCCUCAGUUCGAAACAAGUUGAGGUCGGUUAUAUGAAUCCCCACAUACGCAAGCAACAUCAACAAGCUUGUAACAAGUUAGUUGUUAGAAGACGAUUGCGCUAUCCUAUGGCAGUUUUAAUUUCUUCCAUACCACGACCAACUUACUGUAGGUUAAAGUUUGCACAAUAAUCUUAUAACAAGUAUAUUACAGAUACCAUGACUAGGGACAUAUUCCAAAAUUCAAAGACAGACUAUUUGAGACUUCCAAAUGGUCAGUUUUUUGUCCUAUUACCUUAGAGUUCAUCUUGUCCCAAAAACUAGCUCAAUUCAAUUCAUUCUGUCUAAAUCUUAUAUUGUUCUGAUCAGUUGUUUAUACCAUUUCGAAGUUCUCUUACAACUCAUAUCCUUGAGGUAAUACAGAAAAAGAAAUGGAUCCAAAUAGUUCUAACACAUUUCUAUUGGUGUCCAUAUUUAGAUAAUAGUAUAAGUCAAUGUAAUAUAUUCACCUAAUAAUAGAAUCACAUGCUAAAUCAUUUAAUCUUAUGUCUAUUCCAGAUUCAAUAUUUUUAUCAAUUAUUGUCGAUAAGGGUGGACAUGAUAUGGUAUAUAUACCGAAUACCAUACUGAAAUCAAAUUUUUUAUAU